rnacentral:rRNA from 1 species
CCUACGGGGUGCAGCAGUGGGGAAUAUUGGACAAUGGGCGAAAGCCUGAUCCAGCCAUGCCGCGUGUGUGAAGAAGGCCUUCGGGUUGUAAAGCACUUUCAGUGGGGAAGAAAGCCUUGGGGCUAAUACCCUCGAGGAAGGACAUCACCCACAGAAGAAGCACCGGCUAACUCCGUGCCAGCAGCCGCGGUAAUACGGAGGGUGCGAGCGUUAAUCGGAAUUACUGGGCGUAAAGCGCGCGUAGGCGGUCUGAUAAGCCGGUUGUGAAAGCCCCGGGCUCAACCUGGGAACGGCAUCCGGAACUGUCAGGCUAGAGUGCAGGAGAGGAAGGUAGAAUUCCCGGUGUAGCGGUGAAAUGCGUAGAGAUCAGGAGGAAUACCAGUGGCGAAGGCGGCCUUCUGGACUGACACUGACGCUGAGGUGCGAAAGCGUGGGUAGCAAACAGGAUUAGAUACCCCGGUAGUC